AUUGAACGCUGGCGGCAGGCCUAACACAUGCAAGUCGAACGAGUGGCGGACGGGUGAGUAAUGUCUGGGAACCUGCCUGAUGGAGGGGGAUAACUACUGGAAACGGUAGCUAAUACCGCAUACCAUCAGAUGUGCCCAGAUGGGAUUAGCUAGUUGGUGGGGUAACGGCUCACCAAGGCGACGAUCCCUAGCUGGUCUGAGAGGAUGACCAGCAACACUGGAACUGAGACACGGUCCAGACUCCUACGGGAGGAAGCAGGGGGGAAGAGUGCACAAUGGGCGCAAGCCUGAUGCAGCCAUGCCGCGUGUAUGAAGAAGGCCUUCGGGUUGUAAAGUACUUUCAGCGGGGAGGGGUUACCCGCAGAAGAAGAACCGGCUAACUCCGUGCCAGCAGAGGCGGUAAUAC
rnacentral:rRNA from 1 species